rnacentral:lncRNA from 1 species
CGACCGCAUGGCGUCAGACUGGCUCUCGGGCGCGGUGGAGCUCGACGUUAACGUGAUGGUGUACCCCGUCGGCGGUCACAUUGGCACAGAUAUUCCUCGCACGUUCGACGGCAAGGUUAAGAUGAUGAAGGAGGUCACAACAAGGACUUAGCUAGAGGUUAUCUGUCAGUUGUGUUCCUGUGCUCAGCGUGACGAGCAACAUUUGGUGUACCCUUUCAAUUCUCAAAUAAACUGUGUCUGAAUUCUGAUACAUGUUGUCUCGUAUGCAUAAAAGUGUUUAGGCUUUGCUAGUUUUUGUCAUGAUUUUUUUUAUAUUCUAGCAUGGGCGUUGCUAGCGCCCGGACGUCCGAUGGGAAAACUUCCCAUCGGACGCUCCGUUGGUCCAUCGCAACAUCAAGAAAUAACAACUGCAACAUAGAGGAAGAGGAGGAGGAGGAUGGCGGCGGCCAGGCCGGUGAUGGCGGCGGCCAGGCCGGUGCGGCUCACCUCUGACCGCGGGGGAGCAGCGGCCCGCGCCCCCGACACUCGAGCAGCGCCCGACGCCCUUCCAAGUGGAGCUCCUCCGACGACCGGCGCAGCUUGCCCCUGUCACACCGGAGGCAAAAGGGCUGAAGGUGAGGGAGAUAGCUCCUCAAGGAGGUUGACGUGAUCCUCUCCCAUGACCUAAAUUGAAGGAAGCAAGGAGGUGCGAUGGCGUGGGGAUGGGGUAGGAGCUUGCCAUCUAGCAGCAGGAAGCUGCCAACGGCAGCGGCGAUGGGCGCGCGGCGCGAUGCAUGGCCUCCAAGGGCCAUGAUGUGUGCAGUAGGAG